GUGUAAUGGAAAAAGCUACUUGAACUCGAAGUACUAGAAUGUGAUAUGGAAAAGUAUUAGACCAGUGGCCCGCGGACAUCUUUAGACCGGCUUCUUCUGCGAAAAAGUCUGUGUGGGGAAGUCUCACGUCCUGUCCAUGGCCGCUUGUUUGUACACCCGUCGAGCCACUCACCUCCCAGGCAACGCUUCUGUCAUCACGUCAACGAUUGCAGCGUAAGUGCAGCUUUGACACCUACUGUAGCAACGGAGCAGUUAAUCAAGUUUCUAACCUCCAUUAACUUGGCGUGGAAGCUGCUUUCUUACGUUCACCGGAGUCACUGACGUGAGACGGCAUGCUUGACUGGCGUCGGUAGGAAGCUCCUGGUCAGAGGACGCAGCAACCUUCUCCACUGCUUUCGUAUAAACUGGCAGCCACCUUCCAUCCAAUCCCCCACCAACACUUUAAUAAGCUAAUGGUGGACGAUUUUGUGUUUUGACUGCUGACAGAUCAAAAUGCAGCUUACAACGUUGACACACCCGGUAUUCACGUGGAAUGAACAGUUUGUCUCAAGCUUUUACGUUUUGCUGUCCACGCGCGUCCUCCAUCAGAAGACAAUGGACGAACAAGACUGCCAACGUUCUGCUCAUGUCCAUUUUACCAUUCUUUUAGUGAGAUGUUAUCCAAGCUGGACCCUGGAAUGGACUCGUGGACAUGUGAGUGAAAGUGAAAUUUGCACCCGACACAGCUCGCCUGUCGUUGCAUCGUCAUGCCUGGGAUGGUCGCCUUGAGGAGAGGAGAGGAGAGCAGGUGGACCAUGCAGCAGCUGCCCAGGUAGCUAAGAGGCAGAGAGAUCGAUUCUAACAGUGCAAUUGCUUCCGUCAAGUGAUUGCUCUCUUCCGCUCAUACCGCCUCCACCACGGGUAGUCAUCACAGGUGCACCUAUACAUCAGAAUCGCGAUACGUCGAUAAUUGACGUGGAGAUACCGUGUAAUGGACAGAAAAUUAAAAAAAAA